rnacentral:rRNA from 1 species
AUGUCGUGGCAGAUCAUCAUAACUCGAAUACAAAUCACCUCUGAGCUCAGUUGGAAGAUUACCCAUAGACUAAGCACUUCUCUUUACAACCUUUCUCCAUUCUUUCUCAGAUUUCUAUUUAGUUACAAGACACUAUCAGCACACUUGAUUGUGAGAGGUAGUCCACCACAUCUAUCUCUCGAAGGUUUUCAAAUUUCUUUCCUUAUCAAUGUUCACACUAUUCCAAAGCAGCUCCCACCAUGUAUUUGCUGGCAUCUCGAUUGCAUCAGUGUUCAACUCGAUGCACAUCUUCCACCCCAAUUGCAUGCAAAACUGUAUCAUGUCGAGUGGUUACUAGAAUUACUCCCAUUGCAGCAUCAUGUAAUGGAGUUCUCAGCAAAUAGUCCACACCGCAUUGCUCAAGAGAGAGAUAUCAGAGUACCCCUGAGAAACACAAACCCAUGCUUGGUUGCUGAAGGCUCCUUUGACUUUUGGUCGUUAUAUAUCGUGUCGCCUAACACGAAUGUGGCAACAAUAUUUGUGUGA